rnacentral:lncRNA from 1 species
AAUCAAGGGUUCUCCUGCUAAACUAAAAGGCUUGAUUCUGUGGCAGACUGAGCAAUGACGUGUUUAAUAUUCUUUUCAAUCCUUUUGUCAUAAAAAAUGUUUUCCCACUGCAAUUACUCUUUUUGAAAGAAAGGUCUCACUAUAGCCCAGGCUAUCCCUCGACUCACAGUAGUCUUCCUGAGUUCUGGGGCUACAGGCAUGAACCACCAUGCCUGCCUGACUUCAGGUUGAUAUUCUACAAACCCAAGAUUUUAAACUGUUCUUAUUUUACAAAAGAGGCAAUAGCACACAGUGUUUUGUGUCAGAACUCUUGUGCUUUUGGUUCACACAUAUGUGUCACACAAACACAGACAUACAUCCAAUAUCAAUAAAUAUAUAAUAAUUUAAAAGACCUUUUCAAAAGUACCCUUAGGGGUUGGGGAUUUAGCUUAGUGGUAGAACUUGCCUAGCAAGCGCAAGGCCCUGGGUUCGGUCCCCAGCUCCG